UACGUAGGGGGCAAGCGUUGUCCGGAUUUAUUGGGCGUAAAAGGCUUGUAGGUGGCCACGCCAAGUCGGAUGUGAAAUCUCCCGGCUCAACUGGGAGGGGUCAUUCGAUACUGGCGGGCUCGAGGCCGGUAGGGGGAAGUGGAAUUCCCGGUGUAGUGGUGGAAUGCGUAGAUAUCGGGAGGAACACCAGUGGCGAAGGCGGCUCCUGGACCGGUUCUGACACUGAGG
rnacentral:rRNA from 1 species